UGCCAGCCGCCGCGGUAAGACGAAGGUGGCAACCGUUGUUCGGAAUCACUGGGCAUAAAGCGCGCGUAGGCGGGUAUGCAAGUCGGGUGUGAAAUCCCUCGGCCCAACCGAGGAACUGCGCCCGAAACUGCAUGCCUUGAGGGCAGGAGGGGGAUGUGGAAUUCCUGGUGGAGCGGUGAAAUGCGUUGAUAUCAGGAGGAACACCGGCGGCGAAGGCGACAUCCUGGCCUGCUUCUGACGCUGAGGUGCGAAAGCCAGGGGAGCAAACGGGAUUAGAUA
rnacentral:rRNA from 1 species